UACGAAGGGGGCUAGCGUUGCUCGGAAUCACUGGGCGUAAAGCGCACGUAGGCGGACUCUUAAGUCAGGGGUGAAAUCCCGGGGCCUCAACCCCGGAACUGCCUUUGAUACUGAUAGUCUCGAGUCCGGAAGAGGUGAGUGGGAAUUCCGAGUGUAGAGGUGAAAUUCGUAGAUAUUCGGAGGAACACCAGUGGCGAAGGCGCUCACUGCCCGGUACUGACGCUGAGGCGCGAAAGCCAGGGAG
rnacentral:rRNA from 1 species